rnacentral:rRNA from 1 species
GAUGAACGCUGGCGGCGUGCUUAACACAUGCAAGUCGAACGGUGAAGCAGGAGCUUGCUCUUGUGGAUCAGUGGCGAACGGGUGAGUAACACGUUAGCAACCUGCCCCUGACUCUGGGAUAAGCGCUGGAAACGGCGUCUAAUACUGGAUAUGUGAUGUGACCGCAUGGUCUGCAUCUGGAAAGAAUUUCGGUUGGGGAUGGGCUCGCGGCCUAUCAGCGUGUUGGUGAGGUAAUGGCUCACCAAGGCGUCGACGGGUAGCCGGCCUGAGAGGGUGACCGGCCACACUGGGACUGAGACACGGCCCAGACUCCCACGGGAGGCAGCAGUGGGGAAUAUUGCACAAUGGGCGGAAGCCUGAUGCAGCAACGCCGCGUGAGGGAUGACGGCCUUCGGGUUGUAAACCUCUUUUAGCAGGGAAGAAGCGAAAGUGACGGUACCUGCAGAGAAAGCACCGGCUAACUACGUGCCAGCCGCCGCGGUAA